UACAGAGGUGGCAAGCGUUGUUCGGAAUUACUGGGCGUAAAGGGCGCGUAGGCGGCCUUCUAAGUCAGACGUGAAAUCCCCCGGCUUAACCUGGGAACUGCGUCUGAUACUGGGAAGCUUGAGUAUGGGAGAGGGAUGUAGAAUUCCAGGUGUAGCGGUGAAAUGCGUAGAUAUCUGGAGGAAUACCGGUGGCGAAGGCGGCAUCCUGGACCAUUACUGACGCUGAGACGCGAAAGCGUGGGGAGCAAACAGG
rnacentral:rRNA from 1 species